AUGGCAGUAAGUAACCUUACACAUGCCCACUCCUCCAUCCUCCAUGCUCUGGAGAUGGGGCUUUGCCUUCAGUCCACACUGGGGGGAGGGGUCCCCUCCCCUCCCAUCUUUGUAGGGCUCUGGGCCCCCCAAACAUGCUCCUUCUCUAGGGUCCCCCCUGAUUCCUGGACUCCCCAGACUUUCUUGUCACCUUUGUCCCCUGCCUCUUUCCUUCUCUCUCUCCCACAGAGUAUAAACCAAGGGAAGACCCAGGCUGUCUGCUUCCUGCUUCCUGCUUCCUGCUUCCUGCUCAGUCCCGCCCAGCCUCCUUCGAAAGAGCCAGCUCGAAAAAGACUCAUCCUCCUUCAGAUGUGAAUAUUUUCUUUCCUUCAACCAGGAUCUCAUUUAGCCCUUAAGACCUUUUUAUGCAAUUUUUAAAAAAGGAGCAGCCUCCCCCAGUUGGCAGAAAUGAUCUGUGCCCGGCAUGGUAAGCAGGGACAGACUAGGCCUCAAGGGCCACAUCCCCGCACAGCUGCUGCCCUCUACAGUGAAAACCUCUGUGUCCUCAUGCUGCCACUGCGCUCACCUUCCCCACAAGCCAAACGGACAUAGUAAAGGUCAUAGCAGGGUACAAGACCACAGGGUAAGUACCGGAACAGCCAGUAACUAAUGGGAAAUAUUGAAAAUGAUUACACACCAGAGCGAUGUCCCGAAAACUAUGUAUAAAAGAAACACAUGUUUAUAGCAGCACAACUCCUAACAGCUAAAUCUUGGAAGUGGUGUAUGUGUCCAUCAACAAAUAAAUGCACCCAAAAAAAGAUAAUUUAUACACAAUGGAGUACUUCUCUGCUAUAAAGAAGGAUCUCUGAGUCACUGGUAGGAAAGUGGAGGCAUCAUGAGACCAUAACGGUGAGUGGAACAAAUCAGACACACAGCUUCAACACCUCAUAGCUCCUCUUAUAUGAGAAACCCAAUGUACAAGUAAAGGGUAGAUAAUAGGAAAGAGGAAGAUAGAGCCUUUGCAAAGGGAAAGAUGACCAAAAGAUGACGUGGCGGGGGCGGGGAGGAAAGGCACGUAGAAAGAAUUAAGACGUGUGAGGUGGAUGCACCAGCUCCUCACAACGAAUGCAGUCGUUAUGUCUUCCAAACACGCACUGAUAAAAUGAAAAUUCAUAAAAGACAUUAAUCCGAUCGCUGUACCCUAGAUGACUAGGGGCUCCAUCUUGCUCUCCCCUCACCCAUGAUUCCAGCCAAGCUGAAGUCUCACGAUGGACUUCCUCACCUCAAUGUCUCUUCUCACUCUGCGUCUUUUGGUUGAGUUUAUUUUCCCACACUUUCGUUUGUUAAGUCAAAAGCAGACACAAUUUUAAACACAUUAUACUUUUCCCUUCCCCUCCUGAUUACCUGAACCCCUAGAAUCUCUCUCUCAUUUCCUGUUGUUAAGGGCAUCAUUUCAUUUUCCGAUGCUGAGUAGUAUCUCAUGUAAAAAUGCUGAUGCCCCUUGACCGUGAGUUCCCGGAACCAAGUUAUCUACCUUUCUAUGUCCUCCACACGGCUGGGGGAAGGGAGAUACAUGCGGAAUAUACUCAAAUGAAGAAUGAUACAUUCAGUCUUCCCUUUACAAAGAGUUCUACAAGAACAAAAUUCUUUGUGUUCUUAAAAUAUUAAUUUUAAAUUAAAACUUAGGCUUACAGUCCAUUCAGUCUUCCCAAAUUUUUUCACAAAUAUAAAAAAGGGUAAAUCACAAAUUCUGAAAUGACUAUUUUAUAAAAAUUAAAGGAGGCGGGUAAAUCAGAGUUAGAAGUUUUUCUUUUUAUGUGUGUGACACACACUUAAAAGUAGCGUAUACCUCUAAUAUAAGCUACUUUGCGGAAGAUUUGGUCUCUUUCAAAGAAUUUUUAGGUUAACAUGAAAAAUGGCAAAAUAUCACCUUCUUUUAUACUUAUGUUUUAGAACUGAAAAGCUGAAGACUAGGAAGAAAUCUUUCACUGAAGCCAGUUCGGUGACAAUAAACAUGACGUUAAAAGUUUAUCACACUUGUUACACUUUUUGUUUUCUCUUAUUUUCUUAAGCCCAGGUUCUGUUUGAAUGAAUGCAAUUUAGCAAAGUUGCUUUUUCGGGAACACAAAAUUUUGUGGCUUGUGAAAAGAAAAAAAAAAAACGUAAUCUAGAACAUGCGUGAGAAGAAAGACCUUCCAAAGCUGUCUUGAGAGGCAAAUGUGUGCGGCGGCCUCUCUUGCUAGUCGUCCCCUGGGCAUUAUAUAACUCAAAGGUAAUUAGAGAUUGAGGCUUGGACGGCAAAUUCCGUCCCACAAAGGAUAAUCCGGUGUGGAGACAUCAAGUUCGCAGAUGCUCCACAUUUCCAGCCAAGAUAAAGAAAAACUCUUUGGAUAUAUACAUCUCUGUUAAUCCUGCUAGAGAUCAACUUAGAGGAGGUUUAAGUUAGCCAAGGACAUUGGCUUUCUCUGACAUAUCUCAUUCCAGAAAUGCGAUUGUGCUUUAUGGGCUAAAAACAGCAACUCUGUAAAAGUUUCUAAAAACUUUCAAAACAUUUGUUCACAGACUGGAACACAGACUUUUUUUUUUCUAAAUUGAAAACAAAUGUCCAGUUAGAAAGACUUAAUAUACUUAAGAUAAAUUGUGUUCUGAAAACAGUUUACCCUGAUUGGAUUUUUAUUCAACAAAACAGUCCGAUAAUGGUUUUAAUAGAUUGGAAGAGAAGUAAACAUUAAGUAGUUAAAAACAAAAAGUAAUUAAUCUAAUAUCGCUUCUCAAAGACUGCAGUACUUUACAAGAGUGAACUAUGCAAACAAUACAUUUAUAGGUACCCUAAAUCCAUCUUCAGUAGAAGCUAUUGUGUGUAAGUUUUAAGUCCCACGUGUCUGGUUGAUUACAUUUGAUCUGUGUGAUCACUUCGCCAUCUAGUGUCUAAACUUCAAAUAGCAGCUGAAGAGAAUUUUCCUCCAAGUUCUUUCUGAAUAACAUUUUGUAAACUGACUCUUGAAAAACAGUUUGGGGCUGAGAUAUAACCCAAUGGCAGAGCACUUGUUUGGCAUAUGUGAAGCCCUAGGUUCAACUCCCAGGAUCACAAGAAUAGAAGACAGUUUAUUACCAAGAAUGUACAGGACAGAUAAUUUAUGUGCAAACUAUUCAGCAUUCUAACAUUUCCAAUGGUUCUAGGAAAUUAAGAGCUGGUAUCUGUAAAACUCAUAUAUAUCAGAUGAUGCAGUUUUUAAAACACAAGUAAACAUGGGAAUAAGUUAACUAAGUUAUUUUUAGAGAUCUUUUAUGACAGAAAUCUAAGAUAGCUCAUUGAACCAUGAACCAUGGUUAAGAAACACAACAUUUGUAGACCAUACAAAAAAAUUGGGAACCAAAUUAGCAGAUAUAAUGUCAAAACCAUAAAGUAUGAGAAUAACACAAGGAAAUUAUUGACCAGAAAUAUUUUCAGAAUUGUUGGAUUAUUUGUUUCAGAUGGCUACCCUGUUACAGUAACUAGUCAUAUAAAUACUGAGAAGUCAAAUCUGACAGUUGCAUCUAGCUCUUCUUCAUAGAAAUCUGGCAAAAUUUCACAGGUCUCUAUUAGAAUUAUUAAUUUUUGCUUUUGCUACAAAACAAUGUUUGGUAUUUUUUCAACAUCCAAUCAGUAAAACAAACAAGUGAAUAAAAGCCAUUCUGUUCUAUUAGAAUAGAAAAAUAAAUCCUGUAAGAUCCUUCAGAAUCUUCCCAGUACUACUGUUGAGGGGACUCAACAUUGCUUGGAAAAUAUUAGCAUGAAAUUUCCAACACAACCAACUUUGAACCACUGCUCUUUAAACAUCAUCAAAAGAACAAAAAUGUUUUGAAAUUUUAAAUAUGAUCUCAAGACUCAUUUUUAAGAAUAUUUGCAAAAUGAUUCAACUUUAAGGAAAUGGAGGUGAUCAUAAGAAGAAAUCUUCAAAAAUGCUUUUUAUUGGGGCUGGGGAUAUAGCUCAGCGGCAUAAGUGCUUGCUUGGCAAGUACAAGGUUCCUGAGUUCGAUUCCCAGUACAAAAAAAAAGAAAAGAAAAAAAAUGCUUUUUAUUAGCACCUAUUAAUUUUACAAAACCCUGGGGCUAGGUACAUAUUAUAGCACACAUAUACAUACAUAUUGCUUCAGUCAUUAUCACUCUCUCUUCCACCCCUCCCCUCUCCCAUUUUAUUACUUUCAUGUCAUAUUUUUUAGCUUCCACAUACUGAGGAAAACAUGUGAAAUUUGUCUUUCUGAUACUGGCUUAUUUUAUUUAACAUGAUGAUCUCUAGUUCCAUCCAUUUUGCUGCAAAGAGCAGCUCUGCUCUUUUUUAUGGCUGAAUACUCCACUGCAUAUAUAUAUACCACAUUUUCUUUAUCUGUUUAUCUGCUGGUGGGCACCAAAGGUGGUUUACAUCAUGGCUAUUGUGAAUUAUGCUGUGAAAAACCACGGAUAUACUGACUUUAACUCCUGUUGGUACAUACUAAGGAGGGGUAUAGCUGGCUCUGCUAGGAGCUCUAUUGUGUAGUUUUUUGAGGAACCUCUAUACUGAUUUCCAUAGUGGCAGUACUAAUUUACAUUCCCACCAGCAGUGUACAAGGGUCCCUUCCCGUCACAUCACUGCCAGAGUUUAUUCUUGAAGAUCGCCAUUCAGACUGGGGUGCGAUGGAAUCUCCAUGUAGUUUUGAUCUGCAUUCACCUGAUUGUUAAAGACAUUGAACAUUUCUUAUUGAUCAUUUCAUAUUGAACAUACUUAUUGAUCAUUUGUACUUCAUAU
rnacentral:lncRNA from 1 species